CAGUAGCCGCGGUAAUACAGAGGGUGCAAGCGUUAAUCGGAAUUAUUGGGCGUAAAGGGUGCGUAGGUGGUCAUUUAAGUCAGAUGUGAAAUCCCAGGGCUUAACCUUGGAAUUGCAUUUGAUACUGGGUGGCUAGAGUACAGAAGAGGGAAGUGGAAUUUCCGGUGUAGCGGUGAAAUGCGUAGAUAUCGGAAGGAACAUCAGUGGCGAAGGCGACUUCCUGGUCUGUAACUGACACUGAGGCACGAAAGCGUGGGGAGCAAACAGGAUUAGAUACCCCAGUAGUCCCUGUCUCUUAUAC
rnacentral:rRNA from 1 species